AACUUUGUCCAAAAGUAAUCCACCGCUAUAGACAGUACGACGAGCAAGCGGGACAAUUUUUGGAGGACGCCGAGGAACUGUUCUAGUUUCUUUGUCCGAAGAGGUUGUUCCAAAACAACUUGGUUUAAGCCGUGAUAAGUGAGUGGAAAGAUAGAUGUUUGCCAACCAUUAAGAACCCAGGAGGAUUCUCCACAUGAGACCAUGGGUGUCAGAGGGUGGCCAUAUUU
rnacentral:snoRNA from 1 species